GCCUGAGUGGUGGAACUGGUAGACGCGCUGCGUUCAGGGCGCAGUGGGGUUUUCCCCGUGGGGGUUCGACUCCCCCCUCAGGCA
rnacentral:tRNA from 1 species